GCUCUCAGAGGCGAAGAAGGACGUGAUAAGCUGCGAAAAGCUACGGGGAUUGGCACAUACGAAUUGAUCCGUAGAUUUCCGAAUG
rnacentral:rRNA from 1 species